UUUCUUCAUUUUCAAUUAUAAUUUGGUCUACAUAUAGUAUCUAUGUAUGGAUCAAUUCAAAUAUACAGUGAAAUAUAACCCAUGGUCUUGGUUGUUCUGGUCAAUUCGAAUAUAAUUUGGUCUACACCGUUGCUCACCACCGUCGCUCACCACCGCCACCGCCACAAAUCACAGGUUUACAUUUUGUCUUGAAGAUAAAAGGAGAUCCAAAUUGUAAAUUUUGUUUCCUAAAGAGCACAGUUAGAUGGAGGACUGGGGCAAUAUUUAAUGGCUUUAUUUUUGCAACAUUUCAGUUUCCAAGCUUGAUGGAGUAUUAGGACGAGCCAAUUCUACCUCCUCUAAAAAAGAAGUAACCGAAGAAUAGAUGGGAUGACAAAGAUGUGGAUGAAAAUGAUGUGAAGGAUUCCUGGGAGGAUGAAAAAGAAACUGCUCUGAUGGUUUUUGGCAUGGAAUUGUGGAUACGAUUUUUUUUGACAAGUACGAAAGAAAUUGUUUUUAGUCUACAAAUUAGUAUUGUUCGUACACAUUAGUUUUAUGGCGUGGUACAGCUUAGCUUUUGACGUGGUACAGAUAAAUUUUUGAUGCGGUACGAAUUACUUUUUGAUGUGGUACACAUUACUUUUUAGGCAUGGUACAGAUUACCUUUUGGCGUGGUAUAAAUUAGUUUUUGAUAGUACAGAUUAACUUUUGGAUAUUAA